UAACUAAUAAACAUAUGGCAGCGAGUGCAGGGCUCUCCUCUCAGCUCAAGAGGAUAUGCCCCUAAAUCACACAGCAAGGAUGUGAUUGGUAGAACCCUAGGAGUGAAAAAAGAAUUGCGGGAGGGGGCAAAAGAAAAGAGGCAACCGAAUAGAUUGCUGAUUACCGACCAGCAUGAACCCAGGCAAUCCUCAUAGCUUCAUGUUAAAGUGUACUGGAGCUAGGCCACAGCUUUGAACACCAGAGAAGCUGCUUUCAUGUCAAGAAAAAAAAUUGGACCACUGCCAGACCCCUGCUGGGCCUCACAUCUCCUAGGAUCUACAGCCUGUGAAGUUUUCCGGUAGGCUCACAUUUCCUGCAAACUGCCUCUCAGCCUUACACUUUAGAGGAAGCUACAGCCAGGCUUUAUAUCCCCUUAUUAGAACAAAACAAACCUAUGAAUCACACCAGUUCUCCACUACCACCAUGGAUCACUCUGCAGAGCACAGGUGAGAGAGUGCACUGGCUCUUCCAGUUGCCUGGAUCCUCCUGUGCCUAGCAGCAGUAUAAGGAAUGUCAACAAAACUGAGCCCCCACUUACAGUCCUCGAACAGUGCUAAAU